ACACGACUACAUUAGAUACCCCGGUAGUCCCAAGCCCUAAACGAUGCGCGUUAGGUGUAUCGGUGACCACGAGUCCACCGAGGUGCCGAAGGGAAACCGUGAAACGUGCCGCCUAGGGAAGUACGGUCGCAAGGCUGAAACUUAAAGGAAUUGGCGGGGAGCACCACAACGGGUGGAGCCUGCGGUUUAAUUGGACUCAACGCCGGGAAGCUCACCGGAUAAGACAGCGGAAUGAUUGCCGGGCUGAAGACCCUGCAUGACCAGCUG
rnacentral:rRNA from 1 species